CUACGUGCCAGCAGCCGCGGUAAUACGGAAGGUCCAGGCGUUAUCCGGAUUUAUUGGGUUUAAAGGGAGUGUAGGCGGUUUGUUAAGCGUGUUGUGAAAUUUAGAUGCUCAACAUUUAACUUGCAGCGCGAACUGGCGAACUUGAGUGCACACAACGUAUGCGGAAUUCAUGGUGUAGCGGUGAAAUGCUUAGAUAUCAUGAAGAACUCCGAUUGCGAAGGCAGCAUACGGGAGUGUAACUGACGCUUAAGCUCGAAGGUGCGGGUAUCGAACAGGAUUAGAUACCCUGGUAGUCCGCACAGUAAACGAUGGAUGCCCGCUGUUAGCGCCUGGCGUUAGCGGCUAAGCGAAAGCAUUAAGCAUCCCACCUGGGGAGUACGCCGGCAACGGUGAAACUCAAAGGAAUUGACGGGGGCCCGCACAAGCGGAGGAACAUGUGGUUUAAUUCGAUGAUACGCGAGGAACCUUACCCGGGCUUGAA
rnacentral:rRNA from 1 species